UGCUUGAUAGCUCAGAUGGUAGAGCGACGGAAUCCUCAUCCGUAAGCGCAGGUUCGACUCCUGCUCAGCACCCA
rnacentral:tRNA from 1 species